AACGAACGCUGGCGGCAUGCCUAACACAUGCAAGUCGAACGAGACCUUCGGGUCUAGUGGCGCACGGGUGCGUAACGCGUGGGAACCUGCCCUUAGGUUCGGAAUAACUCCCCGAAAGGGGUGCUAAUACCGGAUAAUGUCUUCGGACCAAAGAUUUAUCGCCUUUGGAUGGGCCCGCGUUGGAUUAGCUAGUUGGUAGGGUAAAAGCCUACCAAGGCGACGAUCCAUAGCUGGUCUGAGAGGAUGAUCAGCCACACUGGGACUGAGACACGGCCCAGACUCCUACGGGAGGCAGCAGUGGGGAAUAUUGAACAAUGGGCGAAAGCCUGAUCCAGCAAUGCCGCGUGAGUGAUGAAGGCCUUAGGGUUGUAAAGCUCUUUUACCCGGGAUGAUAAUGACAGUACCGGGAGAAUAAGCUCCGGCUAACUCCGU
rnacentral:rRNA from 1 species